rnacentral:rRNA from 1 species
UACGUAGGGUGCGAGCGUUGUCCGGAAUUAUUGGGCGUAAAGAGCUUGUAGGCGGUCUGCCGCGUCUGCUGUGAAAAUCCGGGGCUCAACCCCGGACUUGCAGUGGGUACGGGCAGACUAGAGUGUGGUAGGGGAGACUGGAAUUCCUGGUGUAGCGGUGAAAUGCGCAGAUAUCAGGAGGAACACCGAUGGCGAAGGCAGGUCUCUGGGCCACUACUGACGCUGAGAAGCGAAAGCAUGGGGAGCGAUCAGG